rnacentral:rRNA from 1 species
UACGUAGGGGGCAAGCGUUGUCCGGAUUCAUUGGGCGUAAAGAGCGUGUAGGCGGCCAGGUAGGUCGGUUGUGAAAACUGGAGGCUCAACCUUCAGAGGUCGACCGAAACCAUCUGGCUAGAGUCCGGGAGAGGAGAGUGGAAUUCCUGGUGUAGCGGUGAAAUGCGCAGAUAUCAGGAAGCACACCCGUGGCGAAAGCGGCUCUCUGGACCGUCACUGACGCUGAGGUGCGAAAGCUAGGGUAGCAAACGGG